ACAUCAUUCUGGGAGGCCCACAGUACAACACACAAAAUACCCACACUUAAUCUUUCCAGGUCGAAUACCAAGCAAAGCUAGGUACAAACACACAUCUGGCACAAACUCCUUUCCUCCUUAACCACUUAGGGUGGCAGCUGGUGCAGGCUGCAACAAGAGUUCUGUCUUGCAAGGACAAACACGCGCGGGAGAGGAAGAGCAGCAGUAGCAGCAUACUAACGGCGAACGUAGCAGGACAGGAGUGUGGCAGGCAAAAUUGUACCAGGCAUCCUGACAGCGCACAUCUCCUAAGGGGCAGCACGUCCCUGAAGAUAAGGACCAGCCUGUACCCAGAAGAACCCCUCUUUAGCAUGUUCCCAAUAUGCUUAAUCACCACAUUUGUCAAAGCAGAAGAGGCCCCACAGACUGAAGCUGGAAGACCAGACCUCUGGGAUCGGUACCCCAUGCACUUCUCUCUACUUCUUUGCUCUUGGCUAAGUGAUGGCACCAUCAGCAUUAGGAAAUUUGCUUCUUUGAUUUUGUUGGCAGCUCUGUGUACUCAACCUGGGAUCUGAAAGUCAAGCUGUGUUCUCUUCUGACUCAUGUAUCAUCACCCAGAAGAAGUUUUCUACCAUCAAAAUAUAGUUAACAAGUCUACCUAUGGUGCACGAACCAAAAUAAAGCCAAGUUCCCUCUCUCAUACCACUGCAGAGCCAGCACAGCUGACAGGAGUAACAAGUAGUAAAAUCUUAGUAAAAUAAUCAGAGCUGAUGCUGGGUACACAGUGUCAUCAAGUCUGUGGAGAAAACACGUUGGGGUUUUUUAAGUCACUUUCCUGACCAAAAUUGCAUUUUAUAAAACACUAUUGUUCUCUAUGUAUUUGGAAACAUAUUUUGCCCACUUUAUCUGCUAGGGUGUAGGAUACCACUGAACUCUGUUAAGCAGCACCCAUUUUCCUGUAUGUUUUUUGUUGCUCAGAUGGUUUUUAUAGUGGUUGAGCUGAUAAACUCAUGCUGACGGAAUAUUCUCAGGAGCUUUGGGGAGCAGCAUGAACACAGCAUUUGCAAUCAGGUAUAUACAAAUCUCAAGAUUUUUUCCAAUGUAUGUCUGCACAUUUAUGCCUGAGCUCCACAGACUGACGUAUCUCUUGUAAGGUGUCAGUUUUAUAUUUCUAGUGUGUAUUAAGUGGACCCUCAGUUACUCACGUACAUUUGUAAGAUGUGUGAAUGCAGAAAAUAUUAUCUAAUAUAUGUACUAGGUCAUUAUCAAUAAUGAAAUUAAGCCUGCAUCUGUAUAUGACAACUUUUAUAUAAGUAUCCCUACAGUGCAAGUGUAGUGUUUAGGCUAGGUCAAGGUAUAGCGCAAUUGUAGUUGGGGUCUAAACCGUAGCCAGCCCUAGUAUGUGCAUAUUAAAGCAUUCAAUUUGAA